GAUGAACGCUCGCUACAGGCUUAACACAUGCAAGUCGAGGGGAAACGACAUCGAAAGCUUGCUUUUGAUGGGCGUCGACCGGCGCACGGGUGAGUAACGCGUAUCCAACCUGCCCAUCACUUGGGGAUAACCUUGCGAAAGUAAGACUAAUACCCAAUGAUAUCUCUAGAAGACAUCUGAAAGAGAUUAAAGAUUUAUCGGUGAUGGAUGGGGAUGCGUCUGAUUAGCUUGUUGGCGGGGUAACGGCCCACCAAGGCAACGAUCAGUAGGGGUUCUGAGAGGAAGGUCCCCCACAUUGGAACUGAGACACGGUCCAAACUCCUACGGGAGGCAGCAGUGAGGAAUAUUGGUCAAUGGGCGAGAGCCUGAACCAGCCAAGUAGCGUGCAGGAAGACGGCCCUAUGGGUUGUAAACUGCUUUUAUAAGGGAAUAAAGUGAGAGUCGUGACUCUUUUUGUAUGUACCUUAUGAAUAAGGACCGGCUAAUUCCGUG
rnacentral:rRNA from 1 species